AUGCUUGGAAGGGGUCCCCAAAAAUUUGGGGGGUCCCUGAUGAGAGGGGGAUCCCAAAAAUUGAGGGGAGGGCCCAGGAUGCUUGUGGGGGGUCCCUGGAGGAUUUUGGGGGUCCCUGGAGGAUUUUGGGGGUCCCAGUGGUUUUUGGGGGUCCCAGUGGUUUUUGGGCUCCCCAUUCAGGAGGUGUCCCGGGGUUUUGGGGGUCUCGAGUUUUGGGGUCCCCAUUUGGGGGUGUCCCAGGGUUGUGGGGUCCCAGCGGUUUUUGGGGUCUCAGGGUUUUUGGGGUCCCCAUUUGGGGUCCCAGUGGUUUUUGGGGUCCCCAUUUGGGGUCCCAGUGGUUUUUGGGGUCCCGGGGUUUUGGGGUCCCCAUUUGGGGUCCCAAGGUUUUGGGGAUCCCAGGGUUUUGGGGUCCCGGUGGUUUUUUGGGUCCUGGUGGUUUUGGGGCGUCCCAAGGUUUUGGGGUCCCCAUUCAGGGGAUGUCCCGGGGUUUUGGGGUGUCCCAGGGAGUUUUGUAGUGUCCCGCGGGUUUUGGGGUCCCGGGGUUUUGGGGUCCCCAUUUGGGAAUGUCCCAGGGUUUUGGGGUCCCGAGGUUUUGGGGUCCCAGUGGUUUCAGGGUGUCCCAGGCUUUUGGGGUCCCCAUUUGGGGGUGUCCUGGGAUUUUGUGGGUUCCAGUGGUUUUGGGGGUUCUGGGGUUUUGGGGGUCCCGGGGUUUUGGGGUCCCAGUGGUUUUUGGGGUCCCAAGGUUUUGAGGUCCCCAUCAGGAGGAGUCAAGGGGUUUUGGGGUCCCCAUUUUGGGGAUCCCAAGAUCUUGGGGAUCCUGGGGUUUUAGGUUGCCAGUGGUUUUGGGGUCCCAGGUGGGUUUUGGGGAUCCUGGGGUUUUGGGGUCCCCAUUCAGGGGGUGUCCCAGCCUUUUGGGGUCCCAGCAGUUUUUGGGGUCCCAAGGUUUUGGGGUCGCAGUGGUUGUUGGGGUCCUGGGUUUUGGGGUCCCAUCCAGCUGGGUUUUGGGAUCCCAGUGGUUUUGGGGUCACAGUGAUUUUGGGGCUCUGGGGUUUUGGGGUCCCAGUGGUUUGGGACCCACCCAGGCGGGUUUUGGGGUCCCACCCAGGUCGUUUUGGGGUUCUGGGGUUUUGGGGUCCCACCCAGGUGGUUUUGGGGGUCCCAGCGGUUUUGGGGUCCCAUCUAGGUGGGUUUUGGGGUUCUGGGGUUUUGGGGUCCCAGCCAGGUGUUUUUGGGGGGGGUCCCACCCAGGCGGGUUUUGGGGUCCCAGCGGUUUUGGGGUCCCACCCAGGUGUUUUUGGGGUCCCAGUGUUUUGGGGGUCCCAGUGUUUUUGGGGCCCCCCCCAGGUGUUUUGGGGGUCCCAGUGUUUUUGGGGUCCCCCCCAGGUGUUUUUGGGGUCCCAGUGUUUUGGGGGUCCCAGUGUUUUUGGGGUCCCCCCCAGGUGUUUUUGGGGUCCCCCCCAGGUGUUUUGGGGUCCCAGUUUCGGGGGCUCAGCAGCGCCCGGCCUUGGCGUCGCCGAUGGCGCCCCAGACGUCGAACACGAACUCGUCGGGGAAGGCGAAGUCGCCGAGCUGAGCGUCCAGAGCCUCGGCCAGAGCGUCGGGGUCACGCGCGUCGCGGCCCAGCUCCACCAUGGUGGCCGCUGUGGGGACAUCGGGGACAUUGGGGACAUCGGGGACAUUGGGGACAUCGGGGACAUUGGGGACAUUGGGGACAUCGGGGACAUUGGGGACAAUGGGGACAUUGGGGACAUCGGGG
ensembl:lncRNA